CGGAGGGUGCAAGCGUUAUCCGGAUUUACUGGGUUUAAAGGGAGCGCAGGCGGAUUAGUAAGUCAGUGGUGAAAGCCUUGAGCUUAACUCGAGAACUGCCAUUGAUACUAUUAGUCUUGAAUGUUGUUGAGGUUUGCGGAAUGGGUCAUGUAGCGGUGAAAUGCAUAGAUAUGACCCGGAACACCUAUUGCGAAGGCAGCAGGCUAAACAAAUAUUGACGCUGAGGCUCGAAAGCGUGGGGAUCAAACAGGAUUAGAUACCCUGGUAGUCCACGCCCUAAACGAUGAUUACUCGACAUACGUGAUAUGACAAUGUGUGUCUGAGCGAAAGCAUUAAGUAAUCCACCUGGGAAGUACGACCGCAAGGUUG
rnacentral:rRNA from 1 species